rnacentral:rRNA from 1 species
UACGGGGGGGGCAAGCGUUGUUCGGAAUUACUGGGCGUAAAGGGCGCGUAGGCGGUUCGUUAAGUUGGAUGUGAAAACUCUGGGCUCAACCCAGAGCCUGCAUCCAAAACUGGCGGGCUAGAGUUCUGGAGGGGGUAGCGGAAUUCCUGGUGUAGCGGUGAAAUGCGUAGAUAUCAGGAGGAACACCGGUGGCGAAGGCGGCUACCUGGACAGAAACUGACGCUGAGGCGCGAAAGCUAGGGGAGCAAACAGG